CAGUAAAGAACACAAUUGUACAGUAAAGAACACAAUUGUGUGUGUAGGGGGGGGCAGUCACUAGUGCUAAGCUCAUCUCUUCUCUUCUCCGGCCUGGGUCUGGCCACAAUACUUUGUCCACAUCACAAGAUACGUUUUCUCUUGCCAAACAUCGAGGGAAGUAUCUCCUAGCAUGGCUUAUCCAACCUUGGACAGAGGCAACCUCUAUGUCCCCACAUGGAGGGAAGUAUCUCCUAGCAUGGCGUAUCCAACCUUGGACAGAGGCAAUUCUAUGUCCCCACAUGCGUCCUCCAUUGCCUGGAGAAUCGGCAUGCGGGCAUAGGGUUGGCGAUCAUACACUUUCCAGCGCCAGGCUGAGAAGAAUUCCUCUAUGGGAUUUAGAAAAGGUGAAUAUGGGGGUAGGUACAAAACUACAAUUUGUGCAUGGGUGGCAAACCAGUUUUGGACCAGAACAGCCCAGUGAAAACUAACAUUGUCCCAUAAAACCACAAAACUAGCAGGCUCCUGAUCUGGAUCAGGGACAAGCAUUGUGUAAAUUGCAUCCAGAAAAGUGAGCAUAUGGCCGGUGUUGUACGGACCCAGUGUGGCAUUGUGAUGGAGGACCCCGUUUUGAGUGAUGGCAGCACACAUGGUUAUAUUACCCCCACGCUGUCCAGGGACAUUGGUAAUUGCCCUCUGUCCUGGUUUUGGUAAGGUUGAAGCCAACCUCAUCCACAUAAAUAAAUUAAUGGCGAAUUACAUGGGCAUCCAGCUCCAAUACUCUCUGUAACAGACAAAAGGAUAUACAGAUGAGUAAAUAUGGUAUGUCUGAAGUACUGGAAGUAGUGUUGCAUACAUACCUCUACAAAGUCAUGUCACAUAUUCUUGACUCUGACAGAGUUUCUCUCAAGUUGCACCUUGUAAAGUUGUUUCAUCGUCACUCGGUGCCGUUGGAGGAUGCGUUGUAUGGUCGACAGGCUUACAGCAUUGAUGUCGUUACAGUUUCUCAGUCGCUUUGGUGCAUUUUUCACAUCAUCCCUAACAUGUGCAAAAUAAUAAGUGCAUUUCUCCUAAUUGUUUUCACAAACUGCAAUAUACAACAGGUAUGUUUCUAAAGCUAGUACGUCACUAAAAAUCCUUAGUACAUCUCUCAAAAGUAAAUCUUCAUGCCAAUGAUCAUGUCAGUGUCAUCAGAAUGAUAAGUCAUGGAGUCAUUGUUCACGAACAAGGUCGUCAAAAUGUUUAGGCAUGUUGUCAACGUAACUGUGUACUUUGACAGUAUUACCUGAUGUAAACUUAAGCUACAGUUUGGAUGACAGUUACUGUAUUGAAAAUGCACAAGGAUGCACUUCUAUGGCAUACAUCAAUUUCAACAGUACUAUUUACAUAUUACUGUAUGCGUGUUAUUGAUUGAAAGAGACUGGACAACCAAAGGGGCACAAAGGAGAAAAAAAAAACGAAAUUAGAAAGAAACACAGGAAACCACAACUUUGCACGCAGCACUGUUGUGCUCUCUACACAUCCAGACGUUCCUGUCUGUCGGCCCACAUAUUCUCAUCCACGUCACACCGGAUAUUUCCCCUUCCAAUGAAACGUGGAAAGAAUCUUUUGGAAUGCCUUAUCCAUCCCAUGCAGGCAUCUACUGUGAUGUCCUCACAUGCUGCAUCCAUUGCAGCCAGCAGGGUCAUCUGUGUGUGUGGCUGACGAUCGUACAUCUUCCACCUCCAUGCUGAAAAUAACUCCUCAAUUGGGUUAAGGAAUGGUGAAUAAGGUGGGAGGAAUUCUAUGAGCAUCCUCGGGUGGGUCACAAACCAUUGCCUUAUGAUGUUUGAUCGAUGGAAACUCACAUUAUCACAAAUGACCACAUACUUUGGCAAAUUCUCUCUAAACAGACCCCUCUCAUCAUCAGGGAUGAGAGCCCUGUAGAGAGUCUCUAAAAAGUAGAUGCUGGGUCUUGUAUGGCCCUAUAAGGGGGAUAUGGGUUAGGACACCAUGCUCCGAAAUAGCAGCACACAUGGUGAUAUUUCCUCCCCGUUGGCCUGGCAAAUCCACAGUAGCUCUGUGACCGAUGAUAUUCCGACCCCGCCUUCUGCGUUUGGUCAGGUUGAAGCCAGCCUCAUCCACGUAUACAAAGUUGUGAGAGGGUUCACUUGAUUCUAACUCCAUUAUACGCUAUAUCCCAGUUGAAUUUGUUUUGGUAAGGAAGAGUGACGUAAAAUGUACAUAUAUUGCAUGUUCCUUCCACAGCAAUGGAAAUGUGUGCAGUUUAUGCAUACUGUACUAUGUAUCACUAUAAAAUGUUGCUGUAAAGUAGUUACAUAGAUAUAUAUUUUACCUGUACAUACUGGUACCAUAGCUCCUUAACUCUGUCCUCAUUCCUUUGGAAUGGUACACGGUACAGCUGUUUCAUACUCAUCUGGUUUCUAUGCAGCACCCUGUCGAUGGUUGAGAUGCUAACCAUAUGGAUGUUUUCAAAGACAUCGUUGUCUUCUAUAAUGGUCCUUUGUAUUUCCCUGAGUCUCAUUGUCCCACCCUGGUCUUAGUAUUUUGUGUUUUCUAUAUUUAUUUGGUCAGGCCAGGGUGUGACAUGGGUUUAUUUUGUGGUGUGUUUGUGUAUUGGGGUUUUUCGUAGGUUUUGGGAUUGUGGCUUAGUGGGGUGUUCUAGCAAAGUCUAUGGUUGCCUGAGGCGAUUCUCAAUCAGAGGCAGGUGAUUGUCGUUGUCUCUGAUUGGGAACCAUAUUUAGGCAGCCAUAUUCUUUGUGUUUCGUGGGUGAUUGUUCCUGUGUUAGUUGUCACCAGAUAGGCUGUAUAGGUUUUCACAUGCCGUUUGUUUUUGUAUUUUUCUUCAUUAAAGAUGUAUCGUAAUAACCACGCUGCAUUUUGGUCAGACUCUCCUUCAACGGAAGAAAGCCGUAACACUCAUGGCGUUGUUUGCAUGGACCAUGGUGCAAAUAGCCUCCUCCUGUUGAGGUGUGAAAAGGCGUCCUCUGCCACCGGUUUGAGGACGCAACCAUGGUAGAGGAAGGGGCCAAAUGUUCACCGGGGUACAGGAAGCUUGGUUUUGGAAAAGAAUGAAAUCAGAUUACGAGAAAUUCAAAGCCAAAUCAUCCAAGACGACACCAUAUUCAACAACAUUCAACGAGUCAGUCUGUCCACAUUGGCUCGCAUUCUCACGCGAAACCAAAUCAGAAUGAAACAACUUUAUAAGGUGCCGUUUGAGAGAAACUCUCAAAGAAACAAAGAGGUCAGACGAGCAUAUGUGGAUGGAAUACUGGAAAUGGGAUGCUCAUGCAAUCCCACAUGAGUUCAUCUUUAUAGAUGAGGCUGGGUUCAACCUAGCAAAGAGCAGAAGAAUUAUGAGAAACGUCAUUGGCCACAGAGCCGUUAUAGAUGUUCCUGGCCAAAGUGGUGGGAACGUCACGAUGUGCGCUGCCAUCUCCAAAAUGCAUGGUGUCCUCCGUAGUCAUGCCAACCUUGGACCGUACAACACAGCCCAUAUUCUCACAUUUCUGGACAGACUCCAUAACAUUCUCAUACCACCAGAGCAUAUGAAUGAUGUAGAUCAUCAAAGAACCCGGUACGUUGUAGUAUGGGACAAUAUGAGCUUUUAUCGUGCAGCCCCAGUCCAAAACUGUUCUGCUGACCACCCACCAUUUCUCGUGCAAUUACCUCCCACCAUACUCACCAUUUCUGAACCCCAUAGAAGAGUUGUUUUCGGCACGGCGGUGGAAGGUAUACGACCGGCAGCCCUUUGUGCUCAUGCCUCUUGUGCAGGCUAUGGAAGAGGCAUGUGAUGAGAUUGAUGUUGGUGCGAUUCAGGGAUGGAUAAGGCACUCAAGGCACUUCUUCCCUCGAUGUCUGGCAAGGGAUGAUAUUGCCUGUGAUGUGGACGAGGCGUACAGACCCAGCUGUGCGGCAAGAUGCUGCCUAAUUAUUUUUCUUGCCUCCUUUUUUUUCUAUAUAUAUUUUUUCUGAACAUUGUUUCUGCAAUUUUCUUUUUCAGUUUACUGUUUUUUUGUGAGCAUAUUUUUGUUCAGUCCAAUGUAAAUAUAUCUGCUGUGCAUAUGUUGCACUGACUAAAUAAAAAACUGUUUCAAAAGCAUGUGUGUGUAUCUGCAAAUAUUUCUGUGC